rnacentral:rRNA from 1 species
GGGUGAGUAACACGUGGGCAACCUGCCUCGAAGAGGGGGAUAACACCGAGAAAUCGGUGCUAAUACCGCAUAACAUACAAUUGCCGCAUGGUAAUUGUAUCAAAGGAGCAAUCCGCUUUGAGAUGGGCCCGCGGCUGAUUAGCUAGUUGGUAAGGUAAAGGCUUACCAAGGCGACGAUCAGUAGCCGACCUGAGAGGGUGACCGGCCACACUGGAACUGAGACACGGUCCAGACUCCUACGGGAGGCAGCAGUGGGGAAUAUUGCGCAAUGGGGGAAACCCUGACGCAGCAACGCCGCGUGGAGGAAGAAGGCCUUCGGAUUGUAAACUCCCGUCUUCCGGGACGAUAAUGACGGUACCGGAGGAGGAAGCCACGGCUAACUACGUGCCAGCAGCCGCGGUAAUACGUAGGUGGCGAGCGUUGUCCGGAAUUACUGGGCGUAAAGGGCGCGUAGGCGGCUCUUUAAGUUAGAUGUGAAAACCCAGGGCUUAACUCUGGGACUGCAUUUAAAACUGAAGGGCUCGAGUGCAGGAGAGGUAAGUGGAAUUCCUAGUGUAGCGGUGAAAUGCGUAGAUAUUAGGAGGAACACCAGUGGCGAAGGCGACUUACUGGACUGUAACUGACGCUGAGGCGCGAAAGCGUGGGGAGCAAACAGGAUUAGAUACCCUGGUAGUCCACGCCGUAACGAUGAGUGCUAGGUGUAGAGGGUAUCGACCCCUUCUGUGCCGCAGUUAACACAAUAAGCACUCCGCCUGGGGAGUACGGCCGCAAGGUUGAAACUCAA